CUUCCUGGCUGCAGCCGCCGACGCCGCCGCCCUCUUCCACAGGUAAAUCCAACCAGCGCCGCUCGCCAUCCACUCCCCCGACCUCCACCGCUGGUCGUCUCUCACCUUCUCCACCGCCGCCCUGGUGAACCUGCGUAGGCCACCGCCGCCCGCCUUCCAUCUCCCCGACCUCCACCGUCGCUUGCCUGCACCUCCAUCCUGCCGCAUCCCACCUCCCUUGGCCCACCCUACCCCAACCCUGCCGCCUUGUACGCGUUGCCUGCACCCCGUGCUCCCUGCCCCAGGUCUGGGUAAGUCUACCGUCACACAUCCAGCAAGUCGCCGCCUCCUCUGUGACGUGACAGCAGCUGACUCCUUCUCUCCAUUUUGUCCAAGCCAGCUGAUCCGUUUUGUUGUGGUACUGCUUCUCAUCUUUAGAAAUCUCUGUGGCGGAAGGAAGGAAGCCAUAUAUGACAGAUGCAGUGAAGAGCAAAGAAAAACCUGUCUCAGGUACCUCUCACGCUUUGACAAUAUACUCUUCUCUUGAUUUGGUAAUUAUCUCCCUGUUCACAUACGGCCUGCUGGAAGAGUGAGGCAGUGCGUGUCCGCGCUCUCUUGUCCGUGUGUGUUUUUAGCUUCAGGUGCAAACCCCUGGAUGCCGAAGACUAUGAGGAGUACAUACAUCUUCUUUAUCAAGUUCUUGCAGGUCAGCAGUCUGAGGUGACUAAUGUACAUGCUUGUCUAUCUAAUUUUUGUGUCUCUUCCAUUAUGUAUCUAGUCGAGCUGUUAUAUUCCUCAUUUACUCGAAGGGUAUAUGGCAUGCUGGAUCUUCUUUGAGGGCAUGAUUUAGUUCAGGUCCUCUUAGCCAGUCUUUGGCACCUAGCAUCAAAUCUGCAGCCAUUAUUUGCCCCAAUAUCUACAUAGUCCCAUUACUUUAUUUUACUUCCUUGAAUUACAAUAUUCACCCUAUCAUGUUGGUAAAUGAAGCUGAAUUGGUCAUCUGUUUAGAUAAACUGUUGUUCCACUGGCUACAAGUAAACUUUACUUUUUCAGAAAUCCUUAGUUCUUGUUCUGAAAAAUCAUCUAUCCAUGAUUGGAAUCUUGAGAUUGUACAUGUUUCAUCAAAGCAAAGAGGGCCAUGACCUCAUUAAGAAUGCCUCUUAAUGGGCACAAGGUCGAACUUGAAAUUACCGGUGAGUAUCAUUUACUCCUGUCCAUUAUUUUAUAAAGCACUAAAAUGCAGUAUGACAUCUAAUGAUUGCAUUGCUGCCAUAUGCCAUAUCUAAGAUUUGCAAAGAAAAUACUAGAUGAACAUCCUUUUUUUCGUCCUUGAUUAGCUAAGUGUUUUUGCUCAAUAGUGUCAUGGUAUUUAAGUUAUCAUCAAGUGGGCCAGAUUAUGUUCUGGAGCCACUUUGAAACAUAAAUAAUGUAUGUUUCACAGUACUUUAGGAUCUAUUUUAUAGAUAUGCCAAAAAGAUAAACCUUGAAAGAGUUAAGAGGAUAACAACUCUCAUGGUGAAGGAUGAUGCUCAUCAUCUCCUGCUCAAUUCACUAUUAUUCUCAUUAAUGGUGUACAUAACUUUGCAGGGGAACACCGAUUCAUCCCCUGUUAGUUUGGAGGAUGUUAGUUUGGAGGCAAACACUGAUGGUGACAACAAGGUGGUAGCCUAGGUGACUUAGAAACUUAUGAAGAUGUAGGUGAUGCUCUAGAUCAUGAACCGAGGUGACUUGGAAACUGAGUAUUUUGUUAUCAUUGCAUUGCAUUUGUGCAGUGUGGUGGAUGAUUAUUUUGACUGGUGGUGCCAUGUACACGUACAACUGUCAUGUUAAUGUUGUUAAGCAAGUAAACGUUUCAUAUGUCAA